UACGUAGGGUGCAAGCGUUAAUCGGAAUUACUGGGCGUAAAGCGUGCGCAGGCGGUUUGUAAGUCUGACGUGAAAUCCCCGGGCUCAACCUGGGAAUUGCGUUGGAGACUGCAAGGCUGGAGUCUGGCAGAGGGGGGGUAGAAUUCCACGUGAUAGCGGUGAAAAUGCGUAGAGAUGUGGAGGAAUACCGAUGGCGAAGGCAGCCCCCUGGGAUAACACUGACGCUCAU
rnacentral:rRNA from 1 species